rnacentral:misc_RNA from 1 species
GCAAACUUGGUCAUUUAGAGGAAGUAAAAGUCGUAACAAGGUUUCCGUAGGUGAACCUUCGGAAGGAUCAUUACCAAAUGCUGCCCUGCUUUUGUGGGGUUUGCUGAAACUACCCUUGUCUUUGGCACCGUUGUUUCCUCGGCAGGUUCGCCUGCCAACGGGGACUCCACCAACCUUUUGUAGUAGCAAUUUUUGUCAGGAAAAGCAAACAAAUCAAAACUUUCAACAACGGAUCUCUUGGUUCUGGCAUCGAUGAAGAACGCAGC